rnacentral:misc_RNA from 1 species
UAGAAAACAAAUCCAUAAGAAAUAACAGAAACACCCAUCAAGCAUAAAAUCUCCUCAAUUUUAAGAAAAAAAAAGUAGGAAAUAAAAAUCCAGCAGGAUAUCUUACUCUAAAAUUUUUAUUCAAAGUGCGCAUAAAUAUCUGACCCACUGAGCAAGCAGUGACAGUAAAUCUUAAGAAAUAGCAAGUUGGAGUCUAACAGCAAUUAAACAUUCUCUGAGACAAUAAACCAAGCGAAAAAAAUUAUAGCAACAAAAACUCCGAAAUAUCAACAAUCCCCAUUCCCCAACAUAACAGCAGAACAAAAUGCAGGGCCACAUUUUAACACAAAAUCCAAAUACGAACCCCGUGGCAUGCAGAUGCAGGCAAAAAGGUCUCAAAAUGAAGCCCAAUUGAGUAAACAGAACAACAAUGCCGGCAAAUAGAAAUGUAAAGGGUUUACUUACUUGAGAUGUGAUUAUUUAGCA